AUUUAUAUAGUAUAAUAGUAUAUAUGACUUCCAAUCAUAAGGUUUAAUAAUAAAUUAAUAUAAAUA
rnacentral:tRNA from 1 species